rnacentral:misc_RNA from 1 species
GAAAUGCGAUAAGUAGUGUGAAUUGCAGAAUUCAGUGAAUCAUCGAAUCUUUGAACGCACAUUGCGCCCCUCGGUAUUCCGUGGGGCAUGCCUGUUCGAGCGUCAUCUACACCCUCAAGCUCUGCUUGGUGUUGGGCGUCUGUCCCGCCUCCGCGCGCUGACUCGCCCCAAAUGCAUUGGCAGCGGUUCCUUGCCCCCCUCUUUGCGCAGCACAUUGCCAUUCGAGGCGGCGGCGGCCCGCGUCCAACAAGCUCAACCCCCCCGUCUUUGACCUCGGAUCAGGUAGGGAUACCCGCUGAACUUAAGC